rnacentral:rRNA from 1 species
UGUACCUACGGGACGCAGCAGUGGGGAAUAUUGGGCAAUGGGCGCAAGCCUGACCCAGCAACGCCGCGUGAAGGAAGACGGUUUUCGGAUUGUAAACUUCUGUUCUUAGUGAAGAAGAAUGACGGUAGCUAAGGAGCAAGCCACGGCUAACUACGUGCCAGCAGCCGCGGUAAUACGUAGGGAGCGAGCGUUGUCCGGAAUUACUGGGUGUAAAGGGAGCGUAGGCGGGGAUGCAAGUUGGGUGUCAAAACUACCGGCUCAACUGGUAGUCGCACUCA